rnacentral:rRNA from 1 species
GAUGAACGCUAGCGGCAGGCCUAAUACAUGCAAGUCGAACGGUGAUAGUAAUAUCAUAGUGGCGCACGGGUGCGUAACAAGUAUGCAACCUACCUAUUAUUGGGGGAUAGCCUUUGGAAACGGAGAUUAAUGCCGCAUAAUACGAUUGACUGGCAUCGGUUGAUUGUUAAAGCUUCGGCGAUAAUAGAUGGGCAUGCGUCCAAUUAGUUAGUUGGUGAGGUAAUGGCUCACCAAGACGAUGAUUGGUAGGGGAUCUGAGAGGAUAAUCCCCCACACUGGCACAGAGAUACGGGCCAGACUCCUACAGGAGGCAGCAGUAGUGAAUAUUGGGCAAUGGAGGGAACUCGGACACAGCCAUGCCGCGUGCAGGAAGAAGGCGUUAUGCAUUGUAAACUGCCUUUUGAUAGGAAGAAGGAUCUCUUGCGAGAGAAGGUGACGGUACUAUAAGAAUAAGCACCGGCUAACUCCGUGCCAGCCGCCGCUGUAACAC